GCUGAGCUCAUUGAUGAAGAAGUCUUGAGUUCAUCAUUUUUUCUUCUCUAAUAGCUGAGAUGGCAGUCAAUGAGAGUGACUGCAGAAAGUUUCAGAAGGACACAUGGGAAUCAUUUAACCAGGCCAAUAAAAUCAGCUAUUUAUGUAAGGGCACAACCAUCAGACGAAGUGGGAGGAAGAAACAUUAACUUCAACAGCUGUUUCUUGACCCCGGCUGUCAGUCUUCCCAAGAAUAAAUUUUGGAGAGUCCUAUUUGAAACAAAGAGGGAGUUUUGGGGGAGAGAAAAGUUGGUUGGUUCCAGGGCGACGGCCCAGAGAAGCAGGGAACAAGAUGUUUGCAGUUACCACGCAGCCUGCAAGCCUCUGCCGGGUGCAGGGAUGGAGCAAAGUAACUUGAAAGCUCCCCUCUCGGCGCCCUGUGCCUGCAGCUUCCCCCCCUAACGCGCGCCCAGAUCCAGCGCCGGUGGUAGGAGCCGUAGCUCGACUACAGUAAUUCCCCAGCUCGGGCGGCUUGAAACUGCUCGGGCUGAAUAGUAUUUGCUGUUCCGUCCUGCGGCCGCCUCCCGCCGCGGCUGCCGCGCUCCCUGCAAAGCAGCUCUCAUUAUCCCGGAAGUUGUGCUGACACAGUCUCGCUGCCACCAGAAGUUUGUCAACAUCAAACUUCUCCUGUGUGGGGUACGUUCACCUUCCACGAGUAUUUAAUCGAGCCAGCAAGCAAACAAACAAACCCAAAUAAACCUGCCCGUGAUGUUAUGGUCUUCGGAAUAAAGGGCAUUGGGGUCAUAAAAUGUAUUCUGAGACUUCUGGUUGUUCAUCUGUCAUAGUGUAAAAAGCCUGAUUUACAAAGACUGGAGGCCUUUCGCAGAACAAGGUAUUGUAUGGUUCCUAUGGUUGGGCUUAUUUACAAAUAAAACUAUUUUGCAUUUCUGUCU
rnacentral:lncRNA from 1 species